AAGUUUUGAGUUUUCUUUUAGGCUUUAUAGGCUUUGGGGUAUGUUUGGCCACACCCCUUUUCUUAAUUACCCCUUUAACGCUAACCAAAGUACAAAAUGCAACAUUUUUUUGAUAAUUAUUGAUCUAGAGAGUCCACAGAUUAUUACUGCAGUGGUUUGGUUUCGAUGGGACAAAAAACCUAGGACUAGUUCGCAAAAGUAGGUUUUUAACAUAUUUGUGAAUAACAAUUGAACGAUUUGAUUGACAGCAAUGGUUCUUGAGGCAAAGUUGUGCAUUACGAGGAGAUCUAUCAAAUGAUAUGCAUAUUGUGUUGAUAUGUGAAACACCACGUGAUUACAGAGCCAUAAAACUCGUUAGCGCCAACUAGUGGCCGAUUUCUUUCAAAAUUCUUACAGACCUUAAGGUUCAUGAGUCGAACGUACCCAGCGAGUUUCGUUCCGAUCAACAUCCGUUAACCCUUUCAAAUAGGUGCUUAAAAUUGUUUGGCCAAUGACGGCCAUGUUUUUUGAGAUAUGCAAAUGUCCUCAUAAGUACUUGUGCCCCUUCAGACCAAGACAGUGCAUACCGAUUUUCAAGUUGAUCGAGCCAACGGUUGCCUAGUUAUAGCAAUUUAUGUGUUUUUUCUAUCUUAUAGCGCCCCCAAGUGGCAGAGAUGCGCAAUUUUUUUGAUUUGACCAAAGAUUGAGCUCAUACAUAUGUGUACCGAGUUUGGUGAAGAUAUCUCAUUCCGUUCAAGAGUUAUAGUCAAAAUAGUAUUUGAUUAACGUUAGCAUAGACGCUUUUUGGCGUACUGUUUCGCGUAAGAAUUGAAAUUUCAACUUUUUUUUAAUAAUUAUUGAUAUUGAGUGUCCAGGGAAUAUUUAUGAAGUGGUUUGGUUCUUAUUGGUUGAAAAUCCUAGGACUAGUUCGCAAAAGUAGGUUUCGGAUAUAGCUCGAUUUUGCGAGAAAACGGUGCGUCGUAGACCCCAAAAAGGCGCCGUGCACUUUUGUUCGGGCUAACCCAAGGAUUGCAACAAUGCCAUGUUUUUGAGUCUACGGCUAACGGUUUACGAUUUACGGCCAAAAAUGUCAAAAAUUUUAGUUUUUUGCGCUGUAGCGCCCC